rnacentral:rRNA from 1 species
GUGGGGAAUAUUGGGCAAUGGGCGCAAGCCUGACCCAGCAACGCCGCGUGAAGGAAGAAGGCUUUCGGGUUGUAAACUUCUUUUACCGGGGACGAAACAAAUGACGGUACCUGGUGAAUAAGCCACGGCUAACUACGUGCCAGCAGCCGCGGUAAUACGUAGGUGGCGAGCGUUAUCCGGAUUUAUUGGGUGUAAAGGGCGUGUAGGCGGGACAGCAAGUCAGAUGUGAAAACCAGAGGCUCAACCUCUGGCCUGCAUUUGAAACUGUUGUUCUUGAGUGUCGGAGAGGUAAUCGGAAUUCCGUGUGUAGCGGUGAAAUGCGUAGAUAUACGGAGGAACACCAGUGGCGAAGGCGGAUUACUGGACGAUAACUGACGCUGAGGCGCGAAAGCGUGGGGAGCAAACAGGAUUAGAUACCCUAGUAGUCC